rnacentral:rRNA from 1 species
CCUACGGGAGGCAGCAGUGGGGAAUAUUGCACAAUGGGGCAAACCCUGAUGCAGCGACGCCGCGUGAGUGAAGAAGUAAUUCGUUAUGUAAAGCUCUAUCAGCAGGGAAGACAAUGACGGUACCUGUGUAAGAAGCCCCGGCUAACUACGUGCCAGCAUCCGCGGUAAUACGUAGGGGGCAAGCGUUAUCCGGAUUUACUGGGUGUAACGGGGGCGUAGACGGCAGGGCAAGUCUGGAGUGAAGGGCGGGGGCUCAACCCCCGGACUGCUCUGGAAACUGUACGGCUGGAGUGCAGGAGAGGUAAGUGGAAUUCCUAGUGGAGCGGUGAAAUGCGUAGAUAUUAGGAGGAACACCAGUGGCGAAGGCGGCUUACUGGACUGUAACUGACGUUGAGGCUCGAAAGCGUGGGGAGCAAACAGGAUUAGAUACCCUUGUAGUC